rnacentral:lncRNA from 1 species
CGAGGACGCGGCCCCGCAGCGCUGUCCGCGGCCCUGCGCUCGUCCCGGUGCCGCCGGUUCGCUGUGCCCGCCGUUCGGCCCGGCCCGGCGCUCAGCGGGGCGGUGGGCGCCGGAAGCUGUCCCAAUGGCCUCAGAAGCACCAAGUGAGGAUGCAGAACGUGCAGCUGAGCCUCCUGCAGCUCCCCUGCAGGGGAACAGGACAUUCCAGUGGGGAUCCAUCCUUGCUGCAGUGAAGGACCAGCUCCCAUCCCUGGACUCUGACUCCUCCACAUCUGAUUGUGAGAGUGAUGAGGAGCUUUUCAUCUUCCAGAGGGACCUGCCCAACUUAAUUCCAGACCUGUCAGAGGAACUGAUGAUGUUUGCCCUGGAAGACUCCCAGGAGCAGGUUGGGACUGUUGUGUGUGGCCUGUCCUGUCACCCCUCUCUUCUGGCUGUCCCCAGUGUGGGCAGUUGCUCAUGUCUGACCUGUUUGUCUGAACAGGAAAAGCUUAGUCCUCAGUAUUUUCUCUCACUAGAAA